AUUGAACGCUGGCGGUAUGCUUAAGACAUGCAAGUCGGACGGGGUGCUUCGGCACUCAGUGGCGGACGGGUGAGUAACACGUGGGAAUCUGCCCAGUAGUGGGGGACAGCCCGGAGAAAUCCGGAUUAAUACCGCAUACGCCUACGGGGAAAGGCAGCAAUGCGCUAUUGGAUGAGCCGCCGUUAGAUUAGCUGGUUGGUGGGGUAAAGGCCACCAAGGCGACGAUCUAUAGCUGGUCUGAGAGGAUGGCCAGCCACAUUGGGACUGAGACACGGCCCAGACUCCUACGGGAGGCAGCAGUCGGGAAUAUUGGACAAUGGGCGCAAGCCUGAUCCAGCAAUACCGCGUGUGUGAGAAGGCC
rnacentral:rRNA from 1 species